UACGUAGGGGGCUAGCGUUGUCCGGACUCAUUGGGCGUAAAGAGCGCGUAGGCGGCCCGACAAGUCCGGUGUGAAAGUCACAGGCUCAACCUGUGAAUGCCGCUGGAAACUGUCUGGCUAGAGUCCGGAAGGGGCGAGUGGAAUUCCUGGUGUAGCGGUGAAAUGCGCAGAUAUCAGGAGGAACACCGGUGGCGAAGGCGGGACUCUGGGCCGAUACUGACGCUGAGGAGCGAAAGCGUGGGGAGCGAACAGG
rnacentral:rRNA from 1 species